rnacentral:rRNA from 1 species
GAUGAACGCUGGCGGCGUGCCUAAUACAUGCAAGUCGAGCGAACGGACGAGAAGCUUGCUUCUCUGAUGUUAGCGGCGGACGGGUGAGCAACACGUGGAUAACCUACCUAUAAGACUGGGAUAACUUCGGGAAACCGGAGCUAAUACCGGAUAAUAUUUUGAACCGCUUGGUUCAAAAGUGAAAGACGGUCUUGCUGUCACUUAUAGAUGGAUCCGCGCUGCAUUAGCUAGUUGGUAAGGUAACGGCUUACCAAGGCAACGAUGCAUAGCCGACCUGAGGGGGUGAUCGGCCACACUGGAACUGAGACACGGUCCAGACUCCUACGGGAGGCAGCAGUAGGGAAUCUUCCGCAAUGGGCGAAAGCCUGACGGAGCAACGCCGCGUGAGUGAUGAAGGUCUUCGGGUCGUAAAACUCUGUUAUUAGGGAAGAACAUAUGUGUAAGUAACUGUGCACAUCUUGACGGUACCUAAUCAGAAAGCCACGGCUAACUACGUG